GGAAAGUGCAUGAAAAAGAGGAACAUGACAGUAAAACACCUGAGGGAGAAAGAAGCAAUAACACCACUUCAGAAACUCCAGAGGAAGAGAAGACCCCUCAAGAAGAGAAAAUACUUCAGCAAGAGAGAGAAAAUACCCCCGACACUCAUCCUGAGAACAGUUCUUCAAGGGCAAUUUCAGAAAGUGGUGAUGAUAGAAUAUCUGGAGGAAUACUUGGAAGGACUAAAAAGUUUUCUCUGUUUAAGCGAAAGUCGUUGACAAGUCAGAAAAAUGUACAUAACAGCAAUGAAGGUAAAUCUGAAAAGCCACUCCAAAGUGAAAAGGAUAAAGGAAAGGAAGCAGAUUUAUCUGGUGAUGACAGGAAAGACGAAAACCAAAAUCACACGAGGGAGAAUCCUAAGGAAACCACAACUAACCAGGGCAGAAAGACCAAGUCCUCUACUUGUGUAAUACUGUAAUGCUGUCAGAAUAUAUAUUUGAAAGGCUGCAAGCACAUGUUGCAAUUUAUACUUGAAAACAAUUAUGACUUCUUAUUGUUACUGAUGACAGAUUUUAAAAAAAUAAUUAAGUUGUUUGCCUUGGUUUUGGACUUGAAGACCAUGGUUUUGGUAUUUAUUUCUUUUGAUAAUUUUAGUAAUUGAAACUGAUGAGCUUAUCAGAAUGUUACUGAAGUGUUGUGGCCUUAACUGUUCAGUGUUGUAAUAAUAAAAAUAUAUUUUUGUAUGUGAAAAGUUGGAUUCAGGCAUUUUAAUAAUUUUUGCUAAAUAAUUGUAUCCUAUGCUUGAAUCUACACGGUACCACUUACAGUCUGAUAUGGUGCAAAGCUGUAAAUAGCUACUGUAGUGUAUUAUUUGGUUCAACAACAUAGCUAGGAAUAUUUAGAAAUGAACAUUAUGAAGGGUAUUGAGCCACUUAGAAAUCAUCUGUCUUGUUCCAUUUUGAAAUAGAAAAAUAGCAAUAAAACUCAACAGUAUUUAAAAAGAUAGGCUCUGAUUCAGCAAGAUACUGUAAGCAUGUGUCUAGCUUUAUGAAUAUGUAUAGUUCCAGUGAAGUCAAUGAGAUGCCUAACUGCAAGUAAUGUGUAAUGUGCUUAUGUACCUGGCCAAAUCAGGGCCUUGCAGAAACACCACUCAUUUCUGAGAGAUGCUGAGUGCCUUCAACUCUUGUUGAAAUCAGUGAGAGUUGUUGAGGGAAUUCGCCUGAACAUAGAAUCAAGCCAACAGCAGGGCAGAAUGAAAUCAAUUGUCAAUAUUGCCAUUUUACCAUUUCACUGGGAACCUAUUCCUGCAUCCUUGAG
rnacentral:lncRNA from 1 species